GAUGAACGCUGGCGGCGUGCCUAAUACAUGCAAGUCGAGCGAACAGACGAGGAGCUUGCUCCUCUGACGUUAGCGGCGGACGGGUGAGUAACACGUGGAUAACCUACCUAUAAGACUGGGAUAACUUCGGGAAACCGGAGCUAAUACCGGAUAAUAUAUUGAACCGCAUGGUUCAAUAGUGAAAGACGGUUUUGCUGUCACUUAUAGAUGGAUCCGCGCCGCAUUAGCUAGUUGGUAAGGUAACGGCUUACUAAGGCAACGAUGCGUAGCCGACCUGAGGGGGUGAUCGGCCACACUGGAACUGAGACACGGUCCAGACUCCUACGGGAGGCAGCAGUAGGGAAUCUUCCGCAAUGGGCGAAAGCCUGACGGAGCAACGCCGCGUGAGUGAUGAAGGUCUUCGGAUCGUAAAACUCUGUUAUUAGGGAAGAACAAAUGUGUAAGUAACUAUGCACGUCUUGACGGUACCUAAUCAGAAAGCCACGGCUAACUACGUG
rnacentral:rRNA from 1 species